GCCAGUGUGGCAUAAUGGUUUGAGCUUUGGAGUACAACUCUGGAGACCAAGGUUCGAAUCCUGGCUCUGUCA